rnacentral:rRNA from 1 species
CAAACGCUGAUGGCGUGCUUCAUACAUGCAAGUCGAGCGAGAAGGUAGUGCUUGCACUACUGGAGAGCGGCGAACGGGUGAGUAACACGUAAACAAUCUGCCUUCUAGUUGGGGACAACCAUCCUAACGGGUGGCUAAUACCGAAUAUUGUUAAGAAUUCGCAUGUUUUCUUAACGAAAGGCUUCGGCCGCUAGAAGAUGAGUUUGCGUCCCAUUAGUUUGUUGGCGGGGUAACGGCCCACCAAGACUUCGAUGGGUAGCCGGCCUGAGAGGGUGAUCGGCCACAUUGGGACUGAGAUACGGCCCAGACUCCUACGGGAGGCAGCAGUAGGGAAUUUUGCGCAAUGGGGGAAACCCUGACGCAGCAACGCCAUGUGAGGGAUGAAGCAUUUAGGUGUGUAAACCUCUGUCGACAGGGAAUAAGUUUACUUCGGUAGAUUGAAUGUACCUGUAGAGGAAGCCCCGGCUAACUUC